GUAUAUGGUCAUGCUACCCUGAGCAAGCCCUAUCUUGUCUGAUCUCGGAAGCUAAGCAGGAUCAGGCCUGGAAAGUAUUUGGAUGGGGGGUCAGGCCUGAAAAUUACUAAGAUGGGAGACCACCUAGGAAGACCAGGUGCCAUAGGCA
rnacentral:rRNA from 1 species